UACAGAGGUCUCAAGCGUUGUUCGGAUUCAUUGGGCGUAAAGGGUGCGUAGGCGGUCAGCACAAGUCAGUUGUGAAAUCUCCGGGCUUAACUCGGAAAGGUCAACUGAUACUGUGCGACUAGAGUGCGGAAGGGGCAACUGGAAUUCUCGGUGUAGCGGUGAAAUGCGUAGAUAUCGAGAGGAACACCUGCGGCGAAGGCGGGUUGCUGGGCCGACACUGACGCUGAUGCGCGAAAGCCAGGGGAGCGAACGGG
rnacentral:rRNA from 1 species